rnacentral:rRNA from 1 species
UACGGGGGGGGCAAGCGUUGUUCGGAAUUACCGGGCGUAAAGGGCUCGUAGGUGGCCAACUAAGUCAGACGUGAAAUCCCUCGGCUUAACCGGGGAACUGCGUCUGAUACUGGAUGGCUUGAGUGUGGGAGAGGGAUGCGGAAUUCCAGGUGUAGCGGUGAAAUGCGUAGAUAUCUGGAGGAACACCGGUGGCGAAGGCGGCAUCCUGGACCAUUACUGACACUGAAUAGCGAAAGCCAGGGGAGCAAACGGG